rnacentral:rRNA from 1 species
UACGGAGGGUGCGAGCGUUAAUCGGAAUUACUGGGCGUAAAGCGCAUGCAGGUGGUUUGUUAAGUCAGAUGUGAAAGCCCGGGGCUCAACCUCGGAAUAGCAUUUGAAACUGGCAGACUAGAGUACUGUAGAGGGGGGUAGAAUUUCAGGUGUAGCGGUGAAAUGCGUAGAGAUCUGAAGGAAUACCGGUGGCGAAGGCGGCCCCCUGGACAGAUACUGACACUCAGAUGCGAAAGCGUGGGGAGCAAACAGG